AACGAACGCUGGCGGCGUGCCUAACACAUGCAAGUCGAGCGCGAAAGUCGUCUUCGGACGGCUAGUAGAGCGGCGCACGGGUGAGUAACACGUGGGUGAUCUACCUUCGGGAUCGGGAUAACCCGGGGAAACUCGGGCUAAUACCGGAUAAGACCACAAAUUUAGAAUUUUGUGGGAAAAACGGGGGACCUCUUCGGAGGCCUCGCACCUGAAGAUGAGCCCGCGGCCCAUCAUGCUAGUUGGCGGGGUAAUGGCCCACCAAGGCCGAGACGGGUAGCUGGUCUGAGAGGAUGAUCAGCCACACUGGAACUGAGACACGGUCCAGACUCCUACGGGUGGCAG
rnacentral:rRNA from 1 species